rnacentral:rRNA from 1 species
AUUGAACGCUGGCGGCAUGCCUCACACAUGCAAGUCGAACGGCAGCACGGGAGCAAUCCUGGUGGCGAGUGGCGAACGGGUGAGUAAAGUAUCGGAACGUGCCCAGUCGUGGGGGAUAACGUAGCGAAAGUUACGCUAAUACCGCAUACGAUCUAUGGAUGAAAGCGGGGGAUCGCAAGACCUCGCGCGUUUGGAGCGGCCGAUAUCAGAUUAGGUAGUUGGUGGGGUAAAGGCUCACCAAGCCGACGAUCUGUAGCUGGUCUGAGAGGACGACCAGCCACACUGGGACUGAGACACGGCCCAGACUCCUACGGGAGGCAGCAGUGGGGAAUUUUGGACAAUGGGCGAAAGCCUGAUCCAGCCAUGCCGCGUGCAGGAUGAAGGCCUUCGGGUUGUAAACUGCUGUUGUACGGAACGAAAAGGUUUGGGCUAAUAAGCUGAGCUCAUGACGGUACCGUAAGAAUAAGCACCGGCUAACUACGUGCCAGCCGCCGCGGUAA